UACGUAGGGACCAAGCGUUGUUCGGAAUCACUGGGCGUAAAGCGCACGUAGGCGGACUCUUAAGUCGGUGGUGAAAUCCUGGAGCUCAACUCCAGAACUGCCUUCGAUACUGAGAGUCUCGAGUCCGGGAGAGGUGAGUGGAACUGCGAGUGUAGAGGUGAAAUGCGCAGAUAUCAGGAAGAACACCCGUGGCUAAGGCGGCUCUCUAGUACGGUACUGACGCUGAGACGCGAAAGCGUGGGGAGCAAACAGGG
rnacentral:rRNA from 1 species